UUUUUUUUUUUUUUUUUUUUUUAAAUUCUGAAAUUCUGAUACACAAAUAAAAUGUGAUUAAUUUCUCACUGGCACAAUUAGUAGUUAUAGGGUUGAGAAAAUAUUCUUCCUAGGAUCUACUUCUUAGUGCUAAAAUACAUAAUGGCAUUUAAUUGACCUAAUGCCCUAAGCCGCAGAUUCAAUAUGCUUCUACAUGUAAAUUUCGUGUGCCAAAACUCAUGCUAUUCCAGUUCCUGUAUUACAAGGACAAAAAUUAACAUGCUGAUUAAAGAGACAACCCAGAUUUGCAAAUUUAAGAAGUUCGGUGAUAGCAUGACAGUAUGGGUACAAUUUUUGUCCAAUAGCAUAUCAGAGAGAAGUGUCCCUGUGCAUGGUACAUAUGGUUACAUAGGGAAAAUGGAGACACAUUGCUGAGAGAGGAGGAGGAAACUAGUCAGGUGAAAGUGAAACACAGGCUAUGGAAGAAAACUGCUGUGAUACAAGAAAACUUUUGUUCAUCUAGUUAGCCUAAUCACUGCACUGUAAUCACUAGCAACCUGGAUCUUCUAUUUCCAAAUUCUAACUCCUAAUGUUUAAAUUCUCUAAGCUACUACAAAAAAAUCUGAACACAGUGAGUUGCAGAUAAAGGGAAAAAAAUUGGCAGGUUAUUUAAAGAUAGACAAAUAAUAAAUUGCUUAAUAGAGUCCUGACUCUCUUCUUCGACAGACAUGACAUUUUAGGCACCUAGGGACAAGCCAGACUACUCAUGACUUCACUCAUGAGCAAUGUUAUCCUCUGAUGCUGCUGCUCACAUUUUAUAUAAUAUCUUGAUGACUCAUCGGUGAGCCAAAAAAAAAUUACUGUCUUCUGCAGCCUGAAAUUUAGGCACAAAUGUUCCAUCUACACCUUAUGUGCAUAAAUCUGUCCUCUAUGGGAUACGUCCCCUGCAGAGGUAGGGAAUUUUCUAUCUUAUCAGUGCCUUUUCAGGCAUUUUUAUUUUAACACCAACAUAGUAGACUUAUUUUGUUUAUUCUUACUGCCUGUUUAACUUUGCAAUGUUACUUUUACCAGCUUGUGCUGACAGUCUUUAAAUCAUUGGUGCCUUCCAUUAAAUCAGAUUUCCAUGAUGCAAGGCAAGAUCCUGGAUCAAGAUGCCACCUGAUAUGCCUUUCAGCAUUCCAACAAAUUAUUGAGGCCACUUGAAUGCUGAAAGUAACCUAAAUGAGCAACCAUAGGAGCAAAGUUAAAAUUUUACCCAAGGUUCAACAAACAGAAAAUAGGGGAAUGCUAUUAAGGGAUGUAUGUAACGUUAAUUACAUUCACAUUGUGAGGUCAAAUGAAUCCUUCUACGCAUUUUUUUUGACUCCUUUCCAUCUAUGAAUUUAGUUGUCCAAUAAACACAUGCACAUUGUGACUGCUUGUGCAAUGCCUGAAAUAGAAAUCUGAUCUUUAGAUGUAUUUGCAUUGAAAGAAACAUAUUUUUAAAGUCAUGUAUGCUGUAUGCAGACCCAGAGAGGAAUAGCAAAACAAUUUUAUGCAUUUUGUGUUGAAGGCAGGAAAGUUAAUUUAUGCAAGUUCAGCCAGUAAAUUUAUUCCAGGAAAUUCCCUGAAAAUUAGAAUCUGAAAAUAUCUUUUUGGUUAUGUUAAAUAGGCACCUUAUAACUUUUGAAAGAUAUGAUUGCACAAACUUUUUUUGCUAACUAAAUUGAAAGUUUUAUUUAUAAGUAUGUUUAGUCACACUGCAGUAUAUGCCUUAAGGAUUUGGAACAAAAUACUGGAGUUAUUAUUAUCUUAUUUAGUCUGUAGUACAAUGUACAAUUACUUGUUUGAAAAUUGUUGCAAUAAGAAAGAAAAAGGUAAAUCUUAGAGCAAUGACUUUGGCCUCAUUUUCAGAGAGCUGUAGAGCAACUGUCUUAUGGUGCAUAGAAUUUGGUAAGGAGAUGCUUCAACUGUACUUUUAUUUAUGACUGCAAUCAUCACUCAACAGUGAUAAAAAUUUUUGGGAUUUCUUUUCAAACCAUUGGGGUAAAUUCCCUUUCUAUAGUUUUUCAGAGUGUGUAUUUCAUUCCAAGAUCAGCAUACCUUAGUGUUGAAAGUCAAGGGAUGAAUUUGCCCUGAAGGUUUUACUUUCAUCCACAGAGGCAAAAAGGGAGUAUCAGCUCUAUCCCUGUAAGGCCAAAAUCUGCACGUAAUCUCUUGCACAUGAUGGAAGUAGCAUGUGAGAAAAACAAGUUGAAGCCCUCUCCCAGCUUUACCAGGAAAGAAGAAUCGCAGGAUGGACUGCAACAGAAGUGCUGAAGAAUGGAGUGACUGAUGUAUAAGAAAAGUGACACAUGCUGGAAGGCCUAAAAAAAAAAUAUCUAGCACAGAGUCCAACUUUGACCUUGAUGAUUUUUGACCAUCCUCAUCUGAAUCAGCAUUUGCUCAACAAUCUCUAGUGGUGUAAUGCCUUUUAAUUCUGGCUGAAUCUUUCAAUAAUCCCUUAAAUAUUGAAGAGUUUAACUGAGAAAGUUUAAUCAGUACAAAGAUUUAUUGCAUUAAUGAUGUAGGUUAUCAACUGAUAUCCUAAUUGCCUGAAAUAUUUAUCUACCCCAGAACCAUGUAAAAGUUUUUUCAUUCCCACAAUUAUUCAUUUUUUUUCUAAUGCUUAGAGAGAGUAAUGAUUCAUUUGGAAGAGAUCCAAGACAAACAUUAUUUAAAUCACUUGAUCCAUUUACUAAUUUGUUGAAAAAUUAACAAGAGCAUUGUUAAUUUUAAUGCAUCUUUUUUUUUUUAGUAGCAUGGGUUGAGUUAGGGAACUUUUCUUAAAGCGUGACUACAUAAGAAUGCCAAGAAAUAAAUUUUACAGUAGAAGGAGAAAAA
ensembl:lncRNA